UACAGGGGGUGCAAACGUUGUUCGGAAUUACUGGGCGUAAAGCGCACGUAGGCGGCUUUGCAAGUCAGAGGUGAAAGCCUGGAGCUCAACUCCAGAAUUGCCUUUGAGACUGCAUCGCUUGAACACGGGAGAGGUGAAUGGAAUUCCGAGUGUAGAGGUGAAAUUCGUAGAUAUUCGGAAGAACACCAGUGGCGAAGGCGGCUCACUGGACCGUUGUUGACGCUGAGGUGCGAAAGCGUGGGGAGCAAACAGG
rnacentral:rRNA from 1 species